AUUGAACGCUGGCGGCAGGCUUAACACAUGCAAGUCGAGCGGGGUGAUGGUGCUUGCACUAUCACUUAGCGGCGGACGGGUGAGUAAUGCUUAGGAAUCUGCCUAUUAGUGGGGGACAACAUUUCGAAAGGAAUGCUAAUACCGCAUACGUCCUACGGGAGAAAGCAGGGGAUCUUCGGACCUUGCGCUAAUAGAUGAGCCUAAGUCGGAUUAGCUAGUUGGUGGGGUAAGGCCUACCAAGGCGACGAUCUGUAGCGGGUCUGAGAGGAUGAUCCGCCACACUGGGACUGAGACACGGCCCAGACUCCUACGGGAGGCAGCAGUGGGGAAUAUUGGACAAUGGGCGGAAGCCUGAUCCAGCCAUGCCGCGUGUGUGAAGAAGGCCUUAUGGUUGUAAAGCACUUUAAGCGAGGAGGAGGCUACUUUAGAUAAUACCUAGAGAUAGUGGACGUUACUCGCAGAAUAAGCACCGGCUAACUCUGUGCCAGCCGCCGCAGUAACAC
rnacentral:rRNA from 1 species